AGGGAUUUAGCUCAGCGGCAUAAGCGCCUGCCUUGCAAGCAGGCAGUCGUGAGUUCAAUCCCCG
rfam:Cavia porcellus supercont2_2 genomic scaffold, whole genome shotgun sequence.